rnacentral:rRNA from 1 species
UGGGGAAUAUUGCACAAUGGGGGAAACCCUGAUGCAGCGACGCCGCGUGAACGAAGAAGGUAUUCGUAUCGUAAAGUUCUGUCCUAUGGGAAGAUAAUGACAGUACCAUAGAAGAAAGCUCCGGCUAAAUACGUGCCAGCAGCCGCGGUAAUACGUAUGGAGCGAGCGUUGUCCGGAAUUAUUGGGCGUAAAGGGUACGCAGGCGGUUUAAUAAGUCGAAUGUUAAAGAUCGGGGCUCAACCCCGUAAAGCAUUGGAAACUGAUAAACUUGAGUAGUGGAGAGGAAAGUGGAAUUCCGAGUGUAGUGGUGAAAUACGUAGAUAUUAGGAGGAAUACCAGUAGCGAAGGCGACUUUCUGGAAACAAACUGACGCUGAGGUACGAAAGCGUGGGGAGCAAACAGG